AAGGUUUUUUUCUCUAAAGGUUGGUAUUGAAAAAAAAGCAAUAGUUUCAAAAAACGCAAAACGACGCUUUCAUUUUUACUGAAAAACUACUGAAAAUGUGGCUAUUUUCCCACUCAAAGUGUAAUCAUGGUAUGUAAAACAAUAAAUAUUAACGAUUUUCGUUUUAAGUCCAAAUUUGGAGUUGUUACAUCAGUAGAUUUUUUUCUCUAAAUGUUGGUAUUGAAAAAAAGCAAUUGUUUCAAAAAACGCAUAAUGACGCUUUCUUUUUUACUGAAAAACUACCCAAAAUGUGACUAUUUUCCCACUCAAAGUGUAAUCAUGGUAUGUAAAACAAUAAAUAUUAACUAUUUUCGUUUCAGGUCCAAGUUUGGAGUUGUUACAUGGAUUUUUUUUCUCUAAAGAUCCAAAUUUGGAGUUGUUACCUCAGUGGAUUUUUUUUCUCUAAAGGUCCAAAUUUGGAGUUGUUACAUGGAUUUUUUUCUCUAAAGAUUGGUAUUGAAAAAAAGAAAUUGUUUCAAAAAACUCAAAACGACGCUUUCAUUUUUACUGAAAAACUACUCAAAUUGUGGCUAUUUUCUCACUUAAAGUGUAAUCAUGGUUGGUAUUGAAAAAAAGCAAUUGUUUCAAAAAACGCAAACUGACGCUUUCCAUUUUAUUGAAAAACUACUCAAAAUGUGGCUAUUUUUCCACUCAAAGU